rnacentral:rRNA from 1 species
UGAGGAAUAUUGGUCAAUGGGCGAGAGCCUGAACCAGCCAAGUAGCGUGCAGGACGACGGCCCUAUGGGUUGUAAACUGCUUUUAUGUGGGGAUAAAGUGCGUGACGUGUCACGCAUUGCAGGUACCACAUGAAUAAGGACCGGCUAAUUCCGUGCCAGCAGCCGCGGUAAUACGGAAGGUCCGGGCGUUAUCCGGAUUUAUUGGGUUUAAAGGGAGCGUAGGCCGUUUGGUAAGCGUGUUGUGAAAUGUAGGAGCUCAACUUCUAGAUUGCAGCGCGAACUGUCAGACUUGAGUGCGCACAACGUAGGCGGAAUUCAUGGUGUAGCGGUGAAAUGCUUAGAUAUCAUGAAGAACUCCGAUUGCGAAGGCAGCUUACGGGAGCGCAACUGACGCUGAAGCUCGAAGGUGCGGGUAUCGAACAGG